UACGUAGGGUGCAAGCGUUUGUCCGGAAUUAUUGGGCGUAAAGAGCUCGUAGGCGGUUUGUCGCGUCUGCCGUGAAAGUCCGGGGCUCAACUCCGGAUCUGCGGUGGGUACGGGCAGACUAGAGUGAUGUAGGGGAGACUGGAAUUCCUGGUGUAGCGGUGAAAUGCGCAGAUAUCAGGAGGAACACCGAUGGCGAAGGCAGGUCUCUGGGCAUUAACUGACGCUGAGGAGCGAAAGCAGUGGGGAGCGAACAGG
rnacentral:rRNA from 1 species